rnacentral:rRNA from 1 species
UAUAAAGUUAGAAGAAAUUUAUUGGUUUAUAGAAUAAGUGUACAGUGAUGGAUAUAUGAGAGAGUGUGGAUUAUUAAAAAUAAGUAUGGUGUGACAGUACCUUUUGUAUCAGGGUUUAUUAAAAUAUUGUUUUGUAAUAAAUUAUCCCGAAUUGAGGAGAGCUAUAUAAUAAUGGUGGUUAAUGUGGAAUUAUUAUCAGGAAUUAUUUAUAGGGGUGAAAUGCUAUUCGUUCUUUAGGAUAUCUGGUUUACUAGGAGAGAAAUUUAAUUUUGAUGUAUUUUUGGGUUUAUUUGGGGGUGGUUGUAAGAAUGUAGUGAUGCUAUCUGGGAUGAGCUAGGUAGGAGAAAUUAUAAUAAGAAUAUAAGGAUUAAAGGUUUAUAGGCUUUAUAAUGGUAUUUGUUGAAAAAUAUAAAAAUUUAUUGUUAGAUUAGAGAUUUAUUAUGAUUAUUUGGUGUGUUACUAGUAUAGAUUAGAUAAUAUAGUUGUGAUUGGAAUAAUGAUGAAAUUAGUAGAUUUAGAUUAUAAGAAGUGUGGUGGUAUUAUAAUAAUUUUAAAGGAAUUCGGCAAAUGUUUUAUCCGCCUGUUUAUCAAAAACAUGGCUUGAUGAAUAUAAUAUUAGGUCUGGCCUGCCCACUGAGAGUAUUGAAGGGCCGCAGUAUUUUGACUGUGCAAAGGUAGCAUAAUAAUUAGUCUUUUAAAUGGAGGCUGGAAUGAAAGGUUGGACGAGAUGAAAGCUGUCUCUAUUAUUAAGGUUGAAUUUUAUGUUUGAGUAAGAAAGCUUAAAUGUGAAUAAGGGACGAUAAGACCCUAUAGAACUUUAUAUGAGUUUAUUUGGGAAAAGUAAUGAGUAUUUGACUGGGGAGGUUAGGAAAGAAUUUAAACUUUUCUUUUAUAUACAUGAAUAGGUGGAUAGUUAUGAUCCUAUACUAGGGAUUUGAGAAUAAGUUACCUUAGGGAUAACAGCUUAAUUUCUUUUGAGAGUUCAAAUCGACAAGGGAGAUUGAGACCUCGAUGUUGGAUUAAGAUUACUAUUGGGUGCAGGAGUUUAAGUAAGUAAGUCUGUUCGACUUUUAAAAUCUUACAUGAUCUGAGUUCAGACCGGUGUGAGCCAGGUUGGUUUCUAUCUUUAUAAAAAUGUCAUGGGUUAGUACGAGAGGACCACGUGUGAGGAAUAAUUUUUAUUGUUGGAAUGAUAUUAACUACUUUGGCAGAUU